rnacentral:lncRNA from 1 species
AAAUAAUAAUAUGCAGAAAAUUGAAGACGAUAAAGAAAAAAUGGACCUGACUUGUAGAUAUAAAAGGAGCGCUCGCCUGGUUGCUCUCCAGAAUGUAGGAAAAAAAAGAAGAAGAAAAAAUAGUAGUAGUAGCAAUAGUAGUAGUAGUAGCAGUAGUAGCAGCAGCAGCAGCAGUAGUAGUAGCAGCAGUACUAGUAGUAGUAACUGUAACAGUAGUAGCAAUAACAACAACAAUAGCAAUAGUAGUAACAGCAGCAGCAGUACAGUAGUAGCAACAGCAACAGUAGUAGUAAUAAUAGUAGUAACAACAGUAGUAGUAGUAAUAAUAACAGU